rnacentral:rRNA from 1 species
GACGAACGCUGGCGGCGUGCUUAACACAUGCAAGUCGAACGGAAAGGCCCUGCUUUUGUGGGGUGCUCGAGUGGCGAACGGGUGAGUAACACGUGAGUAACCUGCCCUUGACUUUGGGAUAACUUCAGGAAACUGGGGCUAAUACCGGAUAGGAGCUCCUGCUGCAUGGUGGGGGUUGGAAAGUUUCGGCGGUUGGGGAUGGACUCGCGGCUUAUCAGCUUGUUGGUGGGGUAGUGGCUUACCAAGGCUUUGACGGGUAGCCGGCCUGAGAGGGUGACCGGCCACAUUGGGCCUGAGAUACGGCCCAGAAUGCUACGGGCGGCAGCAGUGGGGAAUAUUGCACAAUGGGCGGAAGCCUGAUGCAGCAACGCCGCGUGCGGGAUGACGGCCUUCGGGUUGUAAACCGCUUUCGCCUGUGACGAAGCGUGAGUGACGGUAAUGGGUAAAGAAGCACCGGCUAACUACGUG